GAAACACAUGGGGCUGCCCGUCUUCAGACUGGCUGGCAGCGGAGAGCGACAGGGUGAGUGGGUGACCAGCUUCGCGGAGCACAUCUUAAUUCUAUAAAAAAAAACUUUCAGAGAAUAUUAAGGAUUUCAACAGGAGUGCUAAUUUUUUCUCGGUAGAAAAUUGUGAAACAAGGUUCUGUUCUAUCCCAUCUGGGACUUUUUUUUCUUUUGCUUUCACGCACCCCUUCUCGAUAACCGUGGGACAGUUUGGCAAGAUGUUAACGUUAGAAGCAGCAGAGGGAGGACCGUGAGGGAAAUCUCUCUGCUACUGUCACAGCUCGCUGUAAGUCUAAAAUGAGUUCAAAACGAAAAGUUUUAAACAAAGUCUUCGCAUACCCUCAAGUUUGUAGACAGUUGCUACCAGACCUUACAUUAAAGAAAUAGACAGAAAUAAAGGAAUAUAAUUUCUCACAUAUGCUUCUUUCUCAAUUGAUGGCACAGCAUAGCAGAUUUCAUUAAGCUCCUGAUAAUCAUAUGAGCUACAAGUUGGAGAAGGAGUAAAGGUGGAAGUAUUGGAUGUGGAAGUCCACGAUGAGAAGUUAAUGCCGUUUCCUAGCAAGAGUUCAUGGUAACUUUGGAGUAGUGACAUCAGAGAUGGCAGCAAGUAGACUGGAUCAAAAUAUACUCGAGGCAAAAAUCAACAAGAUUUGGUAAUGGAUUGGAUAUAAAGGAUGAAGAAUGGAGAGGCAUCAAGAUAAGGGGAUGGAAGGAGAUCAUGUAAUGAAGGACCCUGGUUCUCUGACUCCAGACCUCUCCAUGGCAUCCCCAGGAGCACGAAGGCACAGAGAUUUUAAACCGUCGGCUCAAGAUCACACAGCUACCAGUGGGGAGUAUUUAUAGUUUGAAAGAAGACUAAACGGAGAAAGCAACACUGCGCGGGAAGGCACGGACGGCUGGGUGAGGAGCCGCAGGCCCUGGGGGGACGUCGAUCAGGAUUGAUCCCCUCGCAGCACCCUCCGACACUCUUGCCCUGGAACGGCCUUUGGGAUACAUGCGGAACGUCAGUCCUGUCAGGGAUAUCGUCAAAAGCCAAAUCAAUGAAAAAGGAAAGAUGCCUGUUACUUCACUAAAAAAUUAUAAGACACUGUCCUACUCAUUUUUUCAUUUAUUUAACAAUUAAUUAUUGGGUGGUUGCUAUGUACUAGAGUUAUACCAUCUUUAAUUUUGGGCUCAAUGAAUUGUGCUAAUUUUGGAAAUUAAAACAUAUAAUUCAAAGCAAACAAAAUAAAAAAAUUAAUAAU
rnacentral:lncRNA from 1 species